rnacentral:rRNA from 1 species
AGGACGAACGCUGGCGGCGUGCUUAACACAUGCAAGUCGAGCGGUAAGGCCUUUCGGGGUACACGAGCGGCGAACGGGUGAGUAACACGUGGGCAACCUGCCCUCAGCUCUGGGAUAACUCCAAGAAAUUGGGGCUAAUACUGGAUAUGACUGCUGACCGCAUGGUCUGGUGGUGGAAAGAUUUAUCGGCUGGGGGAUGGGCCCGCGGCCUAUCAGCUUGUUGGUGGGGUAGUGGCCUACCAAGGCGACGACGGGUAGCCGGCCUGAGAGGGUGACCGGCCACACUGGGACUGAGACACGGCCCAGACUCCUACGGGAGGCAGCAGUGGGGAAUAUUGCGCAAUGGGCGAAAGCCUGACGCAGCGACGCCGCGUGGGGAUGACGGCCUUCGGGUUGUAAACCUCUUUCAGCAGGGACGAAGCGAAAGUGACGGUACCUGCAGAAGAAGCACCGGCCAACUACGUGCCAGCAGCCGC